rnacentral:lncRNA from 1 species
AAAGGAAUUCUGUGGGUUUCUAUAUUGAUGAAGUUAGUUGGAUCUGGGUUUCCCAUAGGGCUGAGGCCGAUGAGACCAGGUGCGUUUGAGAACGGGAUGGUAAUUCGCUGCCUAAUCACCUAAGGAAGAUGAAAAAGGGAAAAAACUGAGAAUAGAUCUAAAAGAUGUAUGAGCAGUAAAAGUAAAAGGGAGAGCUUUAGAUGUUUACCUCUGGGAUAAAGCUCAUGGUCGCUGAUGGGGACACCAUUGGGAAGAAUGAAGUGGGGUGAAGACAAGAGGAAGAUCGCCGGAAGGACGCGACCGGGAGGCAAAAGGGUGCUGGGAUGUGAUGGAAGAUGAUUCGCUGGGGAAAGGAGAGUUACUGAGCUCGUGGAGAAGAAGGAGCGGAGAAUGCUGGUAUUUAAAAACGGUUCGAGAGAAGGGCUAAAGGUGGGAUUUUUACCGCGCCGUCUACACGAAUUUUAGAGGAGCGGUUGUCUCAGGCACCCAGUUCGAAAAGAUUGCAAUCAUAAGGUAGAAGACUGCAGAACCGAAAGGAGUUUUUGCUACGCUUGUCUCGGAGAGAAAGUCAAAAAGAAUUUCAAAGCAAAAGUUAUGUUUUAGUCCAAAAUUGGGGCCCAUGUGUUGAUGCCAGAUUUUCACACGUAUUUUGAAUCGGCGUCAAGGAAGGAAAAGAUUAGCCGAUGCGGUAAGCUAAAAGCUACAGCUGGGAAUCGGUUGAUUAGAGCUACAGUGUUUCGACCAAUUGGCAAAAGGAGUCAGCAAGGAUCGGCCGAUUGGGAGCUAGGGCGGUUUGGCCAGUAUGGGCCUAAAGUCGGCCGAAGAAAAGAUUAGUUAAAGAAGGAGGUUGGCCCGUGGCAUAUGAUAACCAACUUCGAUACGAGGUUUUGUAAAAGACACAUCAAUCUAUACAACAAAUCUACUUACUCCUCGCACUUUACUUUCAAGUUGGCAACUUCGCCAAAAACCUUUUCUUUUCACGAGUUCGUACGGGUUGGCAGGCUACAU